UUUGCACACGGCGGCGUCGCCGGAGGGGCAGUGCUAUCCCCGGUUGCUAGGGGCGAAGACGGCGAUGCCGACGCCACCUCAGAUGCCGUCAGCCUCAAGGUCAGCCUGCUUAGCGAUUGUCAGAUCGGCAAGACCAGCAUCAUGGUAAUUCCUGCGCAGCUGGUGUUGGCCGAGCACCUCAAGUCCCUGCUCUACACCAUCGCGUUCGUCGUCGAACAUACUAUAAGCCGAUUUGAUUCUCCUCCUUGCUGAGUUUCCAAUUUUAGCUAUCAUCAAUUCCCCUUGAACUCGAAUCCACACCAUUGUUGUGCCUGCAGAUCAACCCUGAUAUAGGAGGGGGCAGGCCAUCCCAGUCCCCGGUGCUCAAGAACAACAGCAGCACGGAGACAUCUCACCUGCAUCGAUCGUCAACCGUGCCACUGCUAGGAUGCCGCCACUGCUCCACUAUGGCUCUAUGGCCCAAAGGCGUAUGUGACAGUGCGUGGCCCGGGCGCUUGCCCCUCUCCAGAAGUACUCCAUGCACUUAAAUCCGACUAAAAUCUUGCACUUGGCGUGUGAUUCAUCUUGGGCAGGGGCUUCUGUUAUGAAAAUGGCUUGUAUGUCAGAAAAGAUGUUCCCUUUUUAUUAAAAAAAAGGAAAAUUGGCAUGUGUACUUGUAAGGUACCUCCUGAAAUUUCAAAGUUUACAUGUACAUUAUCUCUUGAAAUUCGAUUCUGAAUGUUGUAGCAUGAGUCGACGCCCAGCCGCCUCCUGAAAACUGGCAUGAUCCUCCUUGCCGCCCAGGCCCGACUGAGGAGUUGCCGCGCGCGAGUUCUUGCUGAUGGUGUUGCCACGUCGGGCCGCCUCACCGAUGUGCAGUGCAUCAUCAUGCCCUCGUGGCAUCUAGAUGGAGAUGGGAGCAGGAUGAUUUCAUCUGGAAGGAGGAGGGGAAUAGGGGCCGAGACUAGGGAGAAGAAGCAUGAGCGUACCAGGAGAGGCUAGGAAGAACUUUCCCCUUGUCAAUUCAUUGUGUGAGAAAGAUAUGCAGGGGGAAGACAAUGCAAGAAGAAGAGGAAAGGCAAGGCUGGCAAGCCGGCCAUGACAAGAAGAAGCCAUGUCGGUCGCACGCCAUCUGGUUGAAGGGCCAGUGAAAUGAAGUGAGAGAUUAACAGAAUCCAACCAACCCGAUCCCCCCCCCCCUUUUGGGCUUGCCUGAUAGGGGUUUGACGAAUUGGGAAUCAUAACGGGGUGCAUGCUAAAUCAUAUUUAAGUGUUUAACGCAAAUAAUAAUACAUGAUGUGCCCUUCUUUGGAACAAGGGUUUGAACUCCUAAAAUUCUAUGGAAUAGCUCAAUUCAUACGAUUGUUUUA